UAGAACCCUCGGGACUCUUUGCCCCAGCGUCAUCUGCCAGCAAGGCCAGCUGGGUGGGUUUCCUCCUGAGACCAGCUUUCCAGGACACAAUGCCCUGGGCGCUGCCAGCGGGGACUGCCUCUGCCUAGGCCUCCAGGCCCCAGUCACCCAGCUUACCCGCCUCUGAGCCCCCACUUGAGCUGACCUCUGUUCCCUCCCGGGCACAGCGCCUCUGGGAGGCCCUGGAGAUGCCUGAAGGCCUCUGGCCUGCAGUCCCCGGCGGGACCUAGCUCCAACAACAGAGGGGAGGCUCCGCUAUGAGGCAGCAGUGGCCAGCCCUGACCCCGCGGGUGCUCAGGACCUCGCUGGUCUUGUUGGCGCUGCUGGUGCCCUCGCAGGCGGUGGUGCGGGCAGUGCUAGAGGGCAACUCCAGCUCAGUGGACUUUGCGGACAUGCCUGCCCUGUUCGGGGCCCCUCUGUCCCCCCAGGGCGUGCGGGGCUACCUGAUGGAGGCGAAGCCAGCCAACGCCUGUCACCCCAUUGAGGGCCCGCGGCCGGGCAACGGCUCCCUGGGCGCCAUCGUGCUGAUCCGCCGCUAUGACUGCACCUUCGACCUCAAGGUGCUCAACGCCCAGCGGGCCGGCUUCGAGGCGGCCAUCGUGCACAACGUGCGCUCCGACGACCUGGUGCGAAUGGCCCACGUGCACGAGGCCCUGCGGCGCCGCAUCGCCAUCCCCUCGGUGUUUGUGGGCGAGGCCGCCUCGCGGGACCUGCGGGUCAUUUCACGCUGCGACAAGUCGGCCCAAGUCCUCCUGCUGCCCGACUACCCACCCUGCCCCGAGCUGGACUGCCACCCCGUGCUGGCCAUCUCCUGGGUCCUGGGCCGGGCCCUGGCCCUGGUCACCUCCUCCUUCUUCGUCCUGCGCCACCUCUGGAACUGGCUGUGGGCCUGGUGGGCCCGGGGGCUGGUCGCCAAGCCGCAGGCCUGCCAGCGGGCCCAGGUGCGCACCUUCACCCGGCGCAACGACCUGUGCGCCAUCUGCCUGGACGAGUACGAGGAGGGCGACCAGCUCAAGAUCCUGCCCUGCUCCCACACCUACCACUGCAGGUGCAUCGACCCCUGGUUCUCCCAGGCUGUGCGGCGCUCCUGCCCUGUGUGCAAGCAGUCAGUGGCUGCCACAGAGGACGGCUCCGACUCCACGGUGGAAAGCUUCAGUGACGAGGAACCCCCCUUGCCUGGCCACCAGCCCCCCAUCUGGGCCAUCCAAGCCCGGCUGCGCUCCCGCAGGCUGGAGCUGCUCGCCAGAGCCAGCCCGCACCGCCACUGCAGUACCGCAUCUCUGGGCACCGUCGACGAGUCUGUGGAGAGGCCCCUGGAACCGCUCUGAGGCCCACAGCCCCUAGCUGGCCACGAUCUGGGGUCCCUGGAGGAUGUUUGUGUCAAGGACAAACCACAUAAGCAACGGGUUCCCCAGUGGUCUGGACUGUCUAACCCAGAGCCCCUAGGUACCAGCAAAACCAGGGUUCUGCUGCCUCAUGAAGGCGAGAGGAAGAAUGCAGGUGGGGGAACCCACAAACGCCCACCAGGAUGAUCCUCACCUCUAAUGAAAUGGAGGGGACAGUAAGCCGGUGCACUAAGGCGGAAUGAGCAACACCGUCACCCUGGACAAAGUUUUAAGCACUUGGCAGAGCCUCUCUAUCCAGCCAUGCUGUUCUUCCAAUGGGACACAAUCAGCUCCAGGGCCUUUGCACUGGCCAUUCCCUCUGCCUGGAAUGAUCUUCAAGCAAGUGUUUUUCAUUUCUUGUAUCCCCAGCAGCUGGAACAGUUCCCACGAUAGUAGGAGGAAAGCAGUUUCACUGGGGGCCAUGCCAAAAUCUCUGUGCAGUUUUGGCGCUGUGACCCGGACUUUGUGGCUCUGGACAGAGACAUUCCUCUCUGCACCUCCAAUUUCUCAUCUGGAAAAUGGGGUUGACGCUAGCACCACCUUUCAGUAAAUCUCUUAAGAGCUAACCCUUGAGUCUCAAAGAGUUAAGUCCAAUCUGGGGUGGUGACAUUUGCAAUGCAUGAAGUUAAAACAUUUUCAAUAAAGAGAAACAAA